rnacentral:rRNA from 1 species
CCGGGGCGGGGGCACGGGGGGCCUACGGGAGGCAGCAGUAGGGAAUAUUGGUCAAUGGACGCAAGUCUGAACCAGCCAUGCCGCGUGCAGGAAGAAGGCCCUCUGGGUCGUAAACUGCUUUUGACAGGGAACAAAUGCCACUUGCGAGUGAGCUGAGUUACCUUAGAAAGUUUAGUUUU